GACGAACGCUGGCGGCGUGCUUAACACAUGCAAGUCGAACGGAAGGGCCCCUUUGGGGGUACUCGAGUGGCGAACGGGUGAGUAACACGUGAGUAACCUGCCCUUGACUUCGGGAUAACUUCAGGAAACUGGGGCUAAUACCGGAUAGGAAUCCUUGCUGCAUGGUGGGGGUUGGAAAGCUUCGGCGGUUUUGGAUGGACUCGCGGCUUAUCAGCUUGUUGGUGGGGUAGUGGCUUACCAAGGCUUUGACGGGUAGCCGGCCUGAGAGGGCGAACGGCCACAUUGGGACUGAGAGACGGCCCAGACUCCUACGGGAGGCAGCAGUGGGGAAUAUUGCACAAUGGGCGGAAGCCUGAUGCAGCAACGCCGCGUGCGGGAUGACGGCCUUCGGGUUGUAAACCGCUUUCAGCAGGGGCGAAGCUUGUGGUGACGGUACCUGCAGAAGAAGCACCGGCUAACUACGUG
rnacentral:rRNA from 1 species